ACCUCCAAAUUGUUAAAAUCUCAGUUUUCUCACUACUCUUUUCAUAAACUAAACAAAACUUCGCUUGUUAGAGAAAUCUCAGAGGAAGCAUAUCAAUAUCCUUUCCUCUUAUACAUAAGAAAGACUUAAUUUUUAGAUUAUCCAUAAAGAAAGUUUACAUAUCAGUACAUUGAACAUUGCUGGUUUAAACCCCUAUGCGUGGCCCAAAGUACCACCAAAAUUUCAACUGAUAUUAAAAUUUUGAACCCAUAAUCUCAACUCAAUGGACAACCAAUUGUCAUCCUCUGUAUUUGUUAGUUUUCCUUAUUGGGAAAAUCCAUAUUGAAUAGGAAGGUGCAGAGAACUUCAAUUAAUGGAUGAUCUCCAGAAUAGCAAAGUCGCUACCAAAGCAAUAAAGAGCUUAAACGUUAGAUAAUCGAAGGAAAUCCCAAUUUCUUUUUUAGCUAUUUUUGAAUUUCACAAAAUUAACAUAAAAUUACAAUUUAAUUGCGAGCAACAAAUCAGCAAGAACCCAAAAAUAAAACAAUCAUAGUCACAUAUAAUGAAAAAAGAGAGAACAAUAAACUAACCUUUCAGCCAUAAGAUUAUGUCAAUUGAGCAACUACUGAACUGCAAAACCCCAAACAAAACCCUAAUUUUUUGUUACAACGAAAGAAGCAGAAGCCAAAGGAAUUCUGAGCGAAGAUCAGCAGUGACUGUCAACCAUGUGAUUAUGUCAAUUUAGCAACUAAGGAACUACAAAAAUCCAAGCCAAACACCAAUUAUUUCUUACAGCGAAGAAGAAGGUUGUGGAAUUCUGAGCGAAGAGAGAAAAAAACAUAGCAAAUUUAAUUCUGCACUUUGAAAUUACCUAUUUAAUUCUUCUGUGAAAGAUACAAAUCAGAUAGAGAAAAACAAAGAAGAUGAACCGAUAGAGAUAGAGAGUGACCUAUCUG
rnacentral:lncRNA from 1 species